rnacentral:sRNA from 1 species
GGCCGCGAGGCUGAUCUUUCUGGGACACUGGCCACCCCAUUGUUUGCCCAAGUUGAUUUUGCUGAUCUAACCAGCUGACUAGGUGACUAGCUUCCUUCCUCAUCAUUCCACAUGUGUCCCCCCAGCACUGGACCUAGAGAAGAGCCAUCCCAGGUAGAGUGUCAUUCUUUGGCCAAGGGAAUGUCAUGACUUUUAUCUGGCAUUUUAAGGGAGUAUGGCAUUCUGUUUAAUCGUAUUGAACUACCUAGAAUACUGAAUAUGAAUACUAUAAAUUUUCGAUUAAAAUGGAUUAUA